rnacentral:ncRNA from 1 species
AUCUUUCAUCAAGAGCUGGGCCGACGCCCACGCCAACCUGCCCCGCCCGGGCAAGGUGGAUCGCGAAAGCGGAUGUGGCUUCUAACGAAGCAACCAAGCGGGUCAAG